rnacentral:rRNA from 1 species
UACGUAGGGGGCGAGCGUUGUCCGGAUUUAUUGGGCGUAAAGAGCUCGUAGGCGGUUCGGCAAGUCAGAUGUAAAAACUCCAGGCUCAACUUGGAGAGGCCAUCUGAUACUGCCGUGACUAGAGUCCGGUAGAGGAGCACGGAAUUCCUGGUGUAGCGGUGAAAUGCGCAGAUAUCAGGAGGAACACCAGCGGCGAAGGCGGUGCUCUGGGCCGGAACUGACGCUGAGGAGCGAAAGCGUGGGGAGCAAACAGG